UCGUUUCGUAUUUUUUAUUCAUCGGUUUGAUAUCGUCGGAGGCUUUCUCGGUCGUCGGAUCAGAAGUUGAUCCGUUGAUCAGGCAAGUAACGGACGGUCAAGAUGAUGGAGUGGAGACACAGCCUUUGACCGCUGAGCAUCACUUCUCGCUGUUCAAGGCUCGGUUCAAGAAAUCGUACGGCUCGGAGGAGGAGCAUGAUUACCGGUUCAAGGUUUUCCGGGCGAACUUGAGACGAGCGGCGCGUCAUCAGAAGCUUGACCCGUCCGCGACUCACGGUGUGACUCAGUUCUCC
rnacentral:lncRNA from 1 species